CUGCUGUGUGGGUCUGUUCCUAACAGGCCAUGUACCAGUACCAGUGCGUGGCCCAAGGUUUGGGGACGCCUGAGCUAUAUAUCCCAGUUCUGUUUAAAAUUCAAUUUUUGUUUUCUGUAUUUUCUGCUAUAAACUAGAAUUUUCUCUUGUGUCUCCUUUUUUAAUUAAUGGUACUUGUUCCCAAAGCAGGUCAUAGAAAACAGAACCCCUUUUCCCCAAAGCCAGCCACAGAACAUAAAAUAUACUCAUCACUUUCUCCCAUUUAUCUGUGUAAGAACUGGCUAUAAAGAAAUUCUCUGACCUAGUUUGUUUGACUGAAGGCCCUAAGGUCCCCUCCUUUCAGCAAAGGUCCUGCCCCAUACGCAGAAUAAACAAAUGCUGCACAGAGAGGCCAAGAAGAAUCUGGAUAGGCCUUACUAAGUGAUAUGGUUAGGAUCUGUGUCUUUGUCCAAAUCUCAUGUUGAAUUAUAAUUCCCAGUUUUGGAGGUGGGGCCUC
rnacentral:lncRNA from 1 species